CGGGUUAUCGUAAAGACUCUGUUGUAAGUCAAGAACGGGUGUGAGAGUGGAAAGUUCACACUGUGACGGUAGCGUUAACCAGAAAGUCACGGCUAACUACGUGCCAGCAGCCGCGGUAAUACGUAGGUGGCAAGCGUUGUCCGGAUUUAUUGGGCGUAAAGCGAGCGCAGGCGGAAUGAUAAGUCUGAUGUGAAAGCCCACGGCUCAACCGUGGAACUGCAUCGGAAACUGUCAUUCUUGAGUGCAGAAGAGGAGAGUGGAACUCCAUGUGUAGCGGUGGAAUGCGUAGAUAUAUGGAAGAACACCAGUGGCGAAGGCGGCUCUCUGGUCUGCAACUGACGCUGAGGCUCGAAAGCAUGGGUAGCGAACAGGAUUAGAUACCCUGGUAGUCCAUGCCGUAAACGAUGGGCGCUAGGUGUUGGGGACUUUCCGGUCCUCAGUGCCGCAGCAAACGCAUUAAGCGCUCCGCCUGGGGAGUACGACCGCAAGGUUGAAACUCAAAGGAAUUGACGGGGGCCCGUCGACGCGGCCG
rnacentral:rRNA from 1 species